AGAUUGAACGCUGGCGGCAUGCCUAACACAUGCAAGUCGAACGGGAGUAGCAAUACUCUAGUGGCGGACGGGUGAGGAAUACGUAGGAAUUUGCCCUUAAGUGGGGGAUAACCCGGGGAGACCCGGAUUAAUACCGCAUGACCUCGAAAGAGCAAAGUGGGGGAUCGCAAGACCUCACGCUUUUGGAGAAGCCUACGUCGGAUUAGCUAGUUGGUGAGGUAAUGGCUCACCAAGGCGACGAUCCGUAACUGGUCUGAGAGGAUGAUCAGUCACACCGGAACUGAGACACGGUCCGGACUCCUACGGGAGCAGCAGUGGGGAAUAUUGGACAAUGGGCGCAAGCCUGAUCCAGCAAUGCCGCGUGUGUGAAGAAGGCCUUCGGUUGUAAAGCACUUAAGUUAGGUAAGAAAAAACGUACGACGUCUAACUACAGUAGAGUCGUUGACGGUACCGACGAGAAAUAAGACACCGACUAACUACUGUGCCAGCACGCCG
rnacentral:rRNA from 1 species